rnacentral:rRNA from 1 species
GACGAACGCUGGCGGCGUGCCUAAUACAUGCCAGUCGAACGAGAGCGCCCGGUGCUUGCACUGGUCAAUCUAGUGGCGAACGGGUGAGUAACACGUGGGUAACCUGCCCAUCAGAGGGGGAUAACAUCCGGAAACGGAUGCUAAAACCGCAUAGGUCUUCGAACCGCAUGGUUUGAAGAGGAAAAGAGGCGCAAGCUUCUGCUGAUGGAUGGACCCGCGGUGCAUUAGCUAGUUGGUGAGGUAACGGCUCACCAAGGCCGUGAUGCAUAGCCGACCUGAGAGGGUGAUCGGCCACAUUGGGACUGAGACACGGCCCAAACUCCUACGGGAGGCAGCAGUAGGGAAUCUUCCGCAAUGGACGCAAGUCUGACGGAGCAACGCCGCGUGAGUGAAGAAGGUUUUCGGAUCGUAAAACUCUGUUGUUAGAGAAGAACAAGUGCUAGAGUAACUGUUAGCGCCUUGACGGUAUCUAACCAGAAAGCCACGGCUAACUACGUG